UAGGUGAGACCCCCCAGCGGCUGUUGUUCGCAUUCAGGUGAUCUGCGCGCACGCGGCGGACGUCAUGGGGAAGCUGCAGGAGUUCGAGAUCGAGUUCGACAAGAAAAAAGAGGUGUACAGCCCGGGAGAGUCCAUCUCCGGAACCGUGCGGGUCAGACUGAGCCAGGCGGUCCAGUGCAAAGCCGUCAAAGUGAACUGCAAUGGCUUCUGUGGCAUCAGCAGCAAAGAGAAUGACGUGGCGUGGGCGGUGGAGGAGCAGUACUUCAACAGCACCGUUUCUGUUGCAGACAAAGGAACCCUGAAAGAGGGGGAGACCGUUUUUCCAUUCAAGUUUCUCAUAUCAGCCACCGCUCCGACUUCUUUUAAGGGCAGCUAUGGGAGGAUUGUCUACAGAGUGCGGGCUUUCAUUGAAAAGCCGGGUUUUUCAAAGGACUACACUGCAGAGAAACCUUUCUACCUGCACAGCAUCCUCAACCUCAACGAGCUGCCGGAUGUUUGGGGCAUCAACUCUUCAGAAGUCAGUCAGCAGUUCACCUACAUGCUGAUGAAGACGGGCACCAUAGUCCUGAGGGCCCAAACGGACAUGAAGGGCUACACUCCCAACCAGAUCAUCCAGGUGAUGGCCAACAUCCACAACCAGUCUGGGAAGAGCACGGGCAACAUCUCCGCCAGCCUGGUGCAGAGAGUGACCUACGAGAUGAAGAAGCCGAUCCACGACAUCAAAACCAUAGCAGAGGUGGAGGGAGGGUCAGUGAAGGGGGGCAAAGAGAUGGAAUGGGAAGAGAAGAUCAUCAUCCCUCCUCUUCCUCAGUCCUCUCUGGCUGGCUGUGAGCUCAUAAGGAUUGACUAUUAUGUGAAAGUCAGCCUGAAGUCUCCUGAAGUCGUUCUGACGUUACCCGUCCACAUCGGCAACGUGGCGCUCAGCAAGAAGAGUCGCUCUACAAAAAAACCAGAGGCUCCUUCCUCCUCUAUUGACGCACCGGACAGCAAAGCCUCUUCCUCCUCCCCGUCGCCCUCUUUGCCUGCUCCCAAACCGGCUCCCCGUCCCACCCCGCGCUCCAGGAUGUCCUCCCACAAUCCCCCCAGUGCUCCUCCCGUGGACUACUACCCCGCAGCAGAGGGCGGGAACGUGACAAACGAAGACUUGAACAAGCGCCAGUCCCAGUUGGUGUCGCCGAAUGCUUUCAGCUACGCCCCGGGCCUCUUCUUCCCCCCAAACCUGCCGCCCAACGGCCCGGCAGCUGAGCCGCCAGGGGCUGCUGGGGCUUCAGCGCUUUACCCCCCCCUGAACACUGCCAGCUCAGUGGCUGCACCACACAUCCUGCCUCCAGGCUACGCCACCUCUGCUUACCCUCAUGGUUUCCCCAGAGUGUGUGAUGAGGACUUUGUGCGGCAACAAUAAAGUGGAAUCCAAGUUCUACACACAAACAUUGAAGAAAUCAACUGCAACAAAUAGGCUCCGCCUUCCUAUGAUGAGAGCUGCAACACAUGAGGCAGACCCGUGAGCCAAAACGAUGGCCGCCACCAGCUCCCCCUUUUAAAGAACAGCUGACUUCAAGUGAAACUCUGCUGAAACGGGCGCCUUUGGUGUCAAAUGUUAACAGACUUGAACUGAGCGGUAACAAAACACCGAGAUCUGUCGAUCGCCUGCUCUACUGAUGUAAAGUCUUCCAGCCUUGGAUUUACUAUGUUUCAAGGAUUUGAUUGGAACCGAAGCCAAGCUGAAGUGGAACCCGCGACAUCACACAGUGGUUUUUUCUCAAUUCGUUUCCUUAAAUCUAGUUCUACUUUCCCCAUUUAGAGAAUGAAGAAAGAGCAGUUUUGGUUGUAUAUUUAGUUAACAAGUAGCAUUUUUAUUUUUUGGAUGUGUAAAAAUCCCCUCCUUGGCAUCUGUGAUGUCAUGUUUUAUGAGGAAGAGUGGGUGUUCAGCUCAUAGAUCUGUUUAUUCAGACGCCUUUUUAUCUUCAAUUGAAUUCCCUAAAAAAGCUUUAAUUAUUGUUGAGCAGUUGGAUGUUUGAAAGAAAUAAUUCCAGAAGUUUGAAAACUGGAACACAAUGAUAAUAAAGUCUGCAUUGUUUGUAAUUGUUUGCUCUCGUGUGUUCUGUUCAUGCAGGUUAUUUUAGGUAUUUUUGAUAUUUACUGAGCUUUUAUUUUCUUCUAAUGUGCUUUGAUUUCUAUUGGCUUAGUAAAAUCUGCCAGGUAUAUUUAUUUGUCAUUUAAAAUGCUAUCCAACUCCUCUUUGUAUUUCAAUAAAUCAGUGAAACCACCAG